rnacentral:rRNA from 1 species
GACUCUCGGCAACGGAUAUCUAGGCUCUCGCAUCGAUGAAGAACGUAGCAAAAUGCGAUACUUGGUGUGAAUUGCAGAAUCCCGUGAAUCAUCGAGUCUUUGAACGCAAGUUGCGCCCGAAGCCACCAGGCCGAGGGCACGCCUGCCUGGGCGUCUCGC